GGUUAAGCGACUAAGCGUACACGGUGGAUGCCCUGGCAGUCAGAGGCGAUGAAGGACGUGCUAAUCUGCGAUAAGCGUCGGUAAGGUGAUAUGAACCGUUAUAACCGGCGAUUUCCGAAUGGGGAAACCCAGUGUGUUUCGACACACUAUCAUUAACUGAAUCCAUAGGUUAAUGAGGCGAACCGGGGGAACUGAAACAUCUAAGUACCCCGAGGAAAAGAAAUCAACCGAGAUUCCCCCAGUAGCGGCGAGCGAACGGGGAGCAGCCCAGAGCCUGAAUCAGUGUGUGUGUUAGUGGAAGCGUCUGGAAAGGCGCGCGAUACAGGGUGACAGCCCCGUACACAAAAAUGCACAUACUGUGAGCUCGAUGAGUAGGGCGGGACACGUGGUAUCCUGUCUGAAUAUGGGGGGACCAUCCUCCAAGGCUAAAUACUCCUGACUGACCGAUAGUGAACCAGUACCGUGAGGGAAAGGCGAAAAGAACCCCGGCGAGGGGAGUGAAAAAGAACCUGAAACCGUGUACGUACAAGCAGUGGGAGCACGCUUCGGCGUGUGACUGCGUACCUUUUGUAUAAUGGGUCAGCGACUUAUAUUCUGUAGCAAGGUUAACCGAAUAGGGGAGCCGAAGGGAAACCGAGUCUUAACUGGGCGUUAAGUUGCAGGGUAUAGACCCGAAACCCGGUGAUCUAGCCAUGGGCAGGUUGAAGGUUGGGUAACACUAACUGGAGGACCGAACCGACUAAUGUUGAAAAAUUAGCGGAUGACUUGUGGCUGGGGGUGAAAGGCCAAUCAAACCGGGAGAUAGCUGGUUCUCCCCGAAAGCUAUUUAGGUAGCGCCUCGUGAAUUCAUCUCCGGGGGUAGAGCACUGUUUCGGCAAGGGGGUCAUCCCGACUUACCAACCCGAUGCAAACUGCGAAUACCGGAGAAUGUUAUCACGGGAGACACACGGCGGGUGCUAACGUCCGUCGUGAAGAGGGAAACAACCCAGACCGCCAGCUAAGGUCCCAAAGUCAUGGUUAAGUGGGAAACGAUGUGGGAAGGCCCAGACAGCCAGGAUGUUGGCUUAGAAGCAGCCAUCAUUUAAAGAAAGCGUAAUAGCUCACUGGUCGAGUCGGCCUGCGCGGAAGAUGUAACGGGGCUAAACCAUGCACCGAAGCUGCGGCAGCGACACUAUGUGUUGUUGGGUAGGGGAGCGUUCUGUAAGCCUGUGAAGGUGUGCUGUGAGGCAUGCUGGAGGUAUCAGAAGUGCGAAUGCUGACAUAAGUAACGAUAAAGCGGGUGAAAAGCCCGCUCGCCGGAAGACCAAGGGUUCCUGUCCAACGUUAAUCGGGGCAGGGUGAGUCGACCCCUAAGGCGAGGCCGAAAGGCGUAGUCGAUGGGAAACAGGUUAAUAUUCCUGUACUUGGUGUUACUGCGAAGGGGGGACGGAGAAGGCUAUGUUGGCCGGGCGACGGUUGUCCCGGUUUAAGCGUGUAGGCUGGUUUUCCAGGCAAAUCCGGAAAAUCAAGGCUGAGGCGUGAUGACGAGGCACUACGGUGCUGAAGCAACAAAUGCCCUGCUUCCAGGAAAAGCCUCUAAGCAUCAGGUAACAUCAAAUCGUACCCCAAACCGACACAGGUGGUCAGGUAGAGAAUACCAAGGCGCUUGAGAGAACUCGGGUGAAGGAACUAGGCAAAAUGGUGCCGUAACUUCGGGAGAAGGCACGCUGAUAUGUAGGUGAAGUCCCUCGCGGAUGGAGCUGAAAUCAGUCGAAGAUACCAGCUGGCUGCAACUGUUUAUUAAAAACACAGCACUGUGCAAACACGAAAGUGGACGUAUACGGUGUGACGCCUGCCCGGUGCCGGAAGGUUAAUUGAUGGGGUUAGCGGUAACGCGAAGCUCUUGAUCGAAGCCCCGGUAAACGGCGGCCGUAACUAUAACGGUCCUAAGGUAGCGAAAUUCCUUGUCGGGUAAGUUCCGACCUGCACGAAUGGCGUAAUGAUGGCCAGGCUGUCUCCACCCGAGACUCAGUGAAAUUGAACUCGCUGUGAAGAUGCAGUGUACCCGCGGCAAGACGGAAAGACCCCGUGAACCUUUACUAUAGCUUGACACUGAACAUUGAGCCUUGAUGUGUAGGAUAGGUGGGAGGCUUUGAAGUGUGGACGCCAGUCUGCAUGGAGCCGAACUUGAAAUACCACCCUUUAAUGUUUGAUGUUCUAACGUUGACCCGUAAUCCGGGUUGCGGACAGUGUCUGGUGGGUAGUUUGACUGGGGCGGUCUCCUCCUAAAGAGUAACGGAGGAGCACGAAGGUUGGCUAAUCCUGGUCGGACAUCAGGAGGUUAGUGCAAUGGCAUAAGCCAGCUUGACUGCGAGCGUGACGGCGCGAGCAGGUGCGAAAGCAGGUCAUAGUGAUCCGGUGGUUCUGAAUGGAAGGGCCAUCGCUCAACGGAUAAAAGGUACUCCGGGGAUAACAGGCUGAUACCGCCCAAGAGUUCAUAUCGACGGCGGUGUUUGGCACCUCGAUGUCGGCUCAUCACAUCCUGGGGCUGAAGUAGGUCCCAAGGGUAUGGCUGUUCGCCAUUUAAAGUGGUACGCGAGCUGGGUUUAGAACGUCGUGAGACAGUUCGGUCCCUAUCUGCCGUGGGCGCUGGAGAACUGAGGGGGGCUGCUCCUAGUACGAGAGGACCGGAGUGGACGCAUCACUGGUGUUCGGGUUGUCAUGCCAAUGGCACUGCCCGGUAGCUAAAUGCGGAAGAGAUAAGUGCUGAAAGCAUCUAAGCACGAAACUUGCCCCGAGAUGAGUUCUCCCUGACUCCUUGAGAGUCCUGAAGGAACGUUGAAGACGACGACGUUGAUAGGCCGGGUGUGUAAGCGCAGCGAUGCGUUGAGCUAACCGGUACUAAUGAACCGUGAGGCUUAACCUU
rnacentral:rRNA from 1 species